CCGCGGGGAGGUUCGGGGCGGCGCAGCCCCGCGCGGUUGUGGGAUCGCUCCCGGGGGCCGCUCCUCUCUCGGGCACUGGGGUCGCGGGAGACGUCGUCGGGAGCUCGGUUUCUGGAGGCCCUUCCCCACCCGGCCUCUGCCUCCUCCACUCCCCCGGGCUGGACGGAACGGGGCCCAGCGCGGGAUGCGAGAGGUAUGAUUUCGCUCUGUCGCCCAGGCUGGAGGGCAGUGGCGCAAUCUCGGCUCACUGCAGCCUCGAACUCCUAGGCUGAAGCGAUUCUCCCGCCUCAGCCUCCAAAGUAGCCGGUACUACAGGCGCGCGCCACCACGCCUGGCUAAGCAAACCUUUGGGAAGGUUUCCCUUGGCCCCUACAGUGUUGGCGUCACAGACAGGAUCCUAAAGCUGCUCUACUUUUCUGGAAGCCACAGUCCAGGGAACCCAGGACCUGACAAAGCAUCAGAAGGGUCUAAACUCCAAUAAAAUCCAGCUGGGUUACAUCAAUUCAGACAUCUGGAUAAAAGGAUGAAUGAAACCAUGUACAUAAUACAGAAUUAUGCAUGCCAGGAAAAAAAAUUAUACUGCCUAAAAGCUGCAACCUUCAUGACAUCAAAUCUAUUUUAACACUGGCUGGUUAUGUGAGGAAAAGGCUAAUAAAAAAAAAUUCUGGCUGACCAAAGAAGUAUGUAUGUAUGUAUGUGUAUUUAUUUUUAAAUUAAUAUUGAGAUGGAUUAAUGUUCUAAAAUUUGGAAUUUCUAACAUUAUCUUAUUCAUAAUAUCAUAUAUCAAAAGUCUCUGAAUAGAAAUUGUUCAAAGGCAUAUAAUCUAAUUAUCAUUACCAUGUCACUAAUCUAACCUCUAAGUAAUUGCUAAAUGCCAUCAGCACCUUCAUCUCCAAUUACAUUUUCAUGAUAUUUCAAGCUACAAUAACAAAACAGAUGCUGAUCUCGGCAUUACUAAGCAACAGGAUAUGUAUACUUUUUAGAGUGUGAAAAUAUCACUGCUCUCCCACAGUUAAUGAUACUUAUUUUCCAAGAACUUCUAGUGAUAUGAUUAUGCUCAUCCAAUUCCCAUGAGGCCAACACUGUGAUCACAGGUUACGAUAAGAACUAAAAUGCCACCCACAGCCAUGUCUGAGUGACACGCAAAACGCUUUGAAACUCUUUUCCA
rnacentral:lncRNA from 10 species